rnacentral:rRNA from 1 species
AGAGGUGCUAAUACCGGAUAARCCCACGGGGUCUUUGGACUCURCGGGAAAAGGGGGGGACCUUUUGGCCUUCUGUCGUCAGAUGAGUMUGCGUACCAUUAGCUAGUUGGUAGGGUAAUGGCCUACCAAGGCUACGAUGGUUAGCUGGUCUGAGAGGAUGAUCAGCCACMCUGGAACUGAGACACGGUCCAGACUCCUACGGGAGGCAGCAGUGGGGAAUUUUGCGCAAUGGGCGAAAGCCUGACGCAGCAACGCCGCGUGAGUGAUGAAGGCUUUCGGGUCGUAAAGCUCUGUCRGRGGGRAAGAAACCYMYUGGGRAUAAUACUUCCWKGGCYUGACGGUACCCUCAAAGGAAGCACCGGCUAACUCCGUGCCAGCAGCCGCGGUAAUAC